rnacentral:rRNA from 1 species
UACGAAGGGGCUAGACGUUGUUCGGAUUUGAUCUGGGCGUAAAGCGCACGUAGGCGGAUCGUUAAGUCGGGGGUGAAAUCCUGGAGCUCAACUCCAGAACUGCCUUCGAUACUGGCGAUCUAGAGUCCGGAAGAGGUGAGUGGAACUCCUAGUGUAGAGGUGGAAUUCGUAGAUAUUAGGAAGAACACCAGUGGCGAAGGCGGCUCACUGGUCCGGUACUGACGCUGAGGUGCGAAAGCGUGGGGAGCAAACAGG